rnacentral:lncRNA from 1 species
UGGUUUACUUUGCUCAUUUUUUCUCCUCUUAAUUGUCAUUACCACUCCUCACACCUCUAUCAUGAUUUCCAAGUUAGUUUAUUUGUAACCUGUUGGUCUUAGUAUAUUCCAUGAAAUCAUAAAAAUUACACACACGCUGGAAAUUGAUGUAAAGUCACUUUUGUGAAUCAUCAUCAUAUACAACCCAAAAAGCAAACAAAGACCAGUGUGUAAACGAAGCAGAAACCUUACCUCAUAAUACAGAGGGGCAAAAGGCUUAAUUCAAUAUUGGAGUUCAAGAAAUAUGAGGUCUUGAAAUGGUGUUAACCUCUCAAUUGUUGGAUAAGAAAGAGAAGAGGUGUUACUGGAUAAGAUAAUGGAUAGAGUGAGCAGAAGAAAAAAAAUGGUGGAAUGACUCACAUUACGAGCAUUAACUCCAUUGUCCUAGUAUGAUUCUAGGCUUUCUAGCAAUAGGAGAAAAUUCCAAGUGCAUACAAAGGUGUUCUACAUUUAAUUUCUAUACCACAUUUUACGUGGUAACAUGAUGAGAGCUAGGUAC